rnacentral:tRNA from 1 species
AUUUAUUUAGUAUAAAGUAUAUUUGACUUCCAAUCAAAAGGUCUGAUUAAUAUCAGAAUAAAUA